rnacentral:rRNA from 1 species
GUGAACGUUACAAACUGUUGCCUCGGCGGGAUCUCUGCCCCGGGUGCGUCGCAGCCCCGGACCAAGGCGCCCGCCGGAGGACCAACCAAAACUCUUAUUGUAUACCCCCUCGCGGGUUUUUUUAUAAUCUGAGCCUUCUCGGCGCCCCUCGUGGGCGUUUCGAAAAUGAAUCAAAACUUUCAACAACGGAUCUCUUGGUUCUGGCAUCGAUGAAGAACGCAGCGAAAUGCGAUAAGUAAUGUGAAUUGCAGAAUUCAGUGAAUCAUCGAAUCUUUGAACGCACAUUGCGCCCGCCAGUAUUCUGGCGGGCAUGCCUGUCCGAGCGUCAUUUCAACCCUCGAACCCCUCCGGGGGGUCGGCGUUGGGGAUCGGCCCUCCCUCUGCGGGGGCCGUCUCCGAAAUCCAGUGGCGGUCUCGCCGCAGCCUCUCCUGCGCAGUAGUUUGCACACUCGCACCGGGAGCGCGGCGCGUCCACAGCCGUUAAACACCCAACUUUCUGAAAUGUUGACCUCGGAUCAGGUAGGAAUACCCGCUGAACUUAAGCAUAUCAAUAAGCGG